ensembl:snRNA U5 U5 spliceosomal RNA
AUACUCUGGUUUCUCUUCAGAUCGUAUAAAUCUUUCGCCUUUUACUAAAGAUUUCCGCUAGCAGAAGGCACCUUGGAUCACUCUGUGAAUGG